rnacentral:rRNA from 1 species
CCUGUCUGAAUAUGGGGGGACCAUCCUCCAAGGCUAAAUACUCCUGACUGACCGAUAGUGAACCAGUACCGUGAGGGAAAGGCGAAAAGAACCCCGGCGAGGGGAGUGAAAAAGAACCUGAAACCGUGUACGUACAAGCAGUGGGAGCACCUUCGGGUGUGACUGCGUACCUUUUGUAUAAUGGGUCAGCGACUUAUAUUCUGUAGCAAGGUUAACCGUAUAGGGGAGCCGCAGGGAAACCGAGUCUUAACUGGGCGUUAAGUUGCAGGGUAUAGACCCGAAACCCGGUGAUCUAGCCAUGGGCAGGUUGAAGGUUGGGUAACACUAACUGGAGGACCGAACCGACUAAUGUUGAAAAAUUAGCGGAUGACUUGUGGCUGGGGGUGAAAGGCCAAUCAAACCGGGAGAUAGCUGGUUCUCCCCGAAAGCU